AGUGAACGCUGGCGGUAGGCCUAGCACAUGCAAGUCGAACGGCAGCACAGUAAGAGCUUGCUCUUACGGGUGGCGAGUGGCGGACGGGUGAGGAAUACAUCGGAAUCUACUUUUUCGCGGGGGAUAACGUAGGGAAACUUACGCUAAUACCGCAUACGACCUACGGGUGAAAGCAGGGGAUCUUCGGACCUUGCGCGAUUGAAUGAGCCGAUGUCGGAUUAGCUAGUUGGCGGGGUAAAGGCCCACCAAGGCGACGAUCCGUAGCUGGUCUGAGAGGAUGAUCAGCCACACUGGAACUGAGACACGGUCCAGACUCCUACGGGAGGCAGCAGUGGGGAAUAUUGGACAAUGGGCGCAAGCCUGAUCCAGCCAUACCGCGUGGGUGAAGAAGGCCUUCGGGUUGUAAAGCCCUUUUGUUGGGAAAGAAAAGCAGCAGGUUAAUACCCCGCUGUUCUGACGGUACCCAAAGAAUAAGCACCGGCUAACUUCGUG
rnacentral:rRNA from 1 species